AACCCGAUGUGGCUGCGAUACUGUUUGCACAUGGCCGAGUAUCACAGUCUUAUCCGGUCAC
rnacentral:pre_miRNA from 1 species